GAUCCUGGCUCAGGACGAACGCUGGCGGCGCGCCUAACACAUGCAAGUCGAACGAGAGAUGAGGAGCUUGCUCUUCAAAUCGAGUGGCGAACGGGUGAGUAACGCGUGGGUAACCUGCCUCAUACAGGGGGAUAACAGUUAGAAAUGACUGCUAAUACCGCAUAAGCGCACAGUACCACAUGGUACGGUGUGAAAAACUCCGGUGGUAUGAGAUGGACCCGCGUCUGAUUAG
rnacentral:rRNA from 1 species